GAUGAACGCUAGCUACAGGCUUAACACAUGCAAGUCGAGGGGCAGCAUGAACUUAGCUUGCUAAGUUUGAUGGCGACCGGCGCACGGGUGAGUAACACGUAUCCAACCUGCCGAUGACUCGGGGAUAGCCUUUCGAAAGAAAGAUUAAUACCCGAUGGCAUAAUUCUUCCGCAUGGUAGAACUAUUAAAGAAUUUCGGUCAUCGAUGGGGAUGCGUUCCAUUAGGUUGUUGGCGGGGUAACGGCCCACCAAGCCUUCGAUGGAUAGGGGUUCUGAGAGGAAGGUCCCCCACAUUGGAACUGAGACACGGUCCAAACUCCUACGGGAGGCAGCAGUGAGGAAUAUUGGUCAAUGGGCGAGAGCCUGAACCAGCCAAGUAGCGUGAAGGAUGAAGGUCCUACGGAUUGUAAACUUCUUUUAUACGGGAAUAAAGUAUCCUACGUGUAGGAUUUUGUAUGUACCGUAUGAAUAAGCAUCGGCUAACUCCGUG
rnacentral:rRNA from 1 species